rnacentral:piRNA from 1 species
CCGUGACCCGCAGUUCUGGUU